CGCAGAACCAAUCCGUUACAUAGUGAGGAGGAAGUUCAAGCCGAAACCGUGGACACAAAUGUGGAUUUGUUCGAUUACCCAGAGAAUUUUCAACCAACCGAUACCUUAGAUGCUGCUGAGGCAAGUGGAGAGAGCGUGGAACAGCCAUUAUUUGUCAGUGGUGAAGUGUUGAAAGCUUUGAAAGAAAUCUCAACUGUGGCGUUUGGCAUCUUGUUCCUACCCCACUUACGAUGUGUUUUUACACGUAUUACCUGUGGUGUGCAUCAGGAGUGGAGCGGUACAUGUAUUCGUACUGAACCAAUUUGGUACAAGGGUCACGGUUUUGGUGCACGCAUUUACACAGAAAAUACACUGCGAAGCGGAACUAUUGUUAGAUACGCAUGUUCUUUGGGGACACAAUAUGUGACGCGCGUCCUAUUCGCUUUGGACUAAUGCAAACUAGACGCAAAUUUUAAGCAUGUCUUUGUUUGCGUUGAUUACAAUGCUGGAGUGUGUGUGUGCUCGCACGCGCGGUAGAGAGAGAAAGAUAUAGUGUGUUCACUGUAGCACAAGAGAGAUCGAGACAGAGAAGCAAUUUGUCCUCGAGUGUCACAAAUACAGUUCAGUAAGAGACCUUUACUUCAACUAAAUCACCAACGUUAUACUGUAUGCCACAGCCUGAGAGACAGCAGAAAUUCCCACCUUAGUGCAGUGUGUAAAGGAACUAAUAUCCUCAAUGAACAGAGGGAUCGAUACAGCAAGCACAAGCUCAGGGUCCUCCAGCUCAGCCCAAGAGAUGAUUUCUCUGGGCAACAUGGCUGUCCAAGUCAACAAAACCUGCUUUAGGAGAUUGAAUAGGAGCAGAAUGUCCCUGUUCACUCAAGAGUUAGCUGUUUUGUUGUUUGGGAGGGAGGUUCUGGGUUCAUCUAGCCUCACUGGGAAUAGGUCCCAAAAAGAACGGCUGAACCCAGAAAAAAUGAAUGCACUUAUUGACACUGUUAUAUCCGAGUUUCCGGGCACGUCACAGUCCGAGGUUAGAGCCGUAAUACGGCGAAAGUGCAAUAACGAAAGUUUUGUUUAAAAAAAAAAAACACUGUAAAGGUAAUUUUUUGUUGUUGUUGGGAAAGGAAUGUGAAAGUAAAGAAGAAAUUUGUGUUUUGUUCAUAUAAGAUACGUACAGUAAUCUGUAGUUUAAUCAUUUUAUUAAAGGGUUAGUUCACCCAAAAAUCGAAAAGUUCUUUGUAUUUAGUCACCCGCGUGUUGUUCUAAACCCUUAAGACAUCCAUUAACCAUUGCAUCACAAAAUAUUAUAUUUAUGAUGUAAUCUGAGCGCUGGAUAAGUCUUCCAUUGACUUCCAAGGGGCUUAAACUUGCUCGAUCAGAAAUCGUAUUAAGACAUUGUUUGAAAUUGUCUAAGUGACUCCAGUGGCUCAACCAUCCAUUUAUCAAGCGACGAGAGUAGUUUUUUUGUGCCAAAAACAAACAAAAAUAACGAAUUUAUUCCAAUAUCCAUUUAAUCGUGUUGUGCUUGAAAGUUGUUUACAUAGUGUAUCUGCGCGAGUUUGUGGGUUCUACGUCACCAGGCGUCACACACAUGACCUGCGUUGGCCAAUAGUGAACCUGUGUGGUGACGUUGAACCCAGAAGCGCUGCGCAGAUAGACUGCGUAAACAACUUUGAAGCACAACACUAGUAAAUGGAUAUUGGUAUAAAUUCGUUAUUUUUGUUUGUUUUUGGCGCAGAAAAAGUAUUCUUGAUGGUUGAGCCACUGAAGUCACUUGGACUAUUUUAAACAAUGUCUAUAUGUUUUCUGAUCGAGCAAGUUUAAGCCCCUUGGAAGUCAAUGGAAGACUUAUCCAGCGCUCAGAUUACAUCAUAAAUAUAAAAUUUUGUUAUGCAAUUAUAAAUGGAAGCCAUACGGGGUUAGAACAACACGCAGGUGAGUAAAAACUGAGAUCAUUUUGAUUUUUGGGUGAACUCCUUUAAUGCUUUUAGUUUAAGCUUGCCACUUGUGUUAUUUUGUUUCCCAACAGUCUGUUUGGACUUUAAUAAUGUUUAAAAAAAAUAAAGUGUUUUUUAAGAAA